rnacentral:rRNA from 1 species
GUGUCAGCAGCCGCGGUAAUACGUAGGGACCGAGCGUUGUCCGGAUUCAUUGGGCGUAAAGAGCUCGUAGGCGGCUAUUCAAGUCGAACGUGAAAUCUCGGAGCUCAACUCCGAAACUGCGUUCGAUACUGGGUAGCUAGAGUCUGGUAGGGGGAUCUGGAAUUCCUGGUGUAGCGGUGGAAUGCGCAGAUAUCAGGAGGAACACCGGUGGCGAAGGCGGGAUCCUGGGCCAGUACUGACGCUGAGGAGCGAAAGCGUGGGGAGCAAACAGGAUUAGAUACCCCUGUAGUCC